AAUUUUCCUAGCANUCGAACGGUAACGCGGGGAGAAGCUUGCUUCUCUCCGGCGACGAGUGGUGAACGGGUGAGUCCUUUUUCGGAACGUGUCCGCUCGUGGGGGACACCAGCCGAACGGUUGGCUAAUACCGCAUGAGUUCUACGGAAGAAAGAGGGGGACCCGCAAGGGCCUCUCGCGAGCGGAGCGGCCGAUGACUGAUUAGCCGGUUGGUGAGGUAACGGCUCACCAAAGCAACGAUCAGUAGCUGGUCUGAGAGGACGACCAGCCACACUGGGACUGAGACACGGCCCAGACUCCUACGGGAGGCAGCAGUGGGGAAUUUUGGACAAUGGGCGCAAGCCUGAUCCAGCUAUUCCGCGUGUGGGAUGAAGGCCCUCGGGUUGUAAACCACUUUUGUAGAGAACGAAAAGACACCUUCGAAUAAAGGGUGUUGCUGACGGUACUCUAAGAAUAAGCACCGGCUAACUACGUGCCAGCAGCCGCGGCAAUACGUAGGGUGCGAGCGUUAAUCGGAAUUACUGGGCGUAAAGGGUGCGCAGGCGGUUGAGUAAGACAGAUGUGAAAUCCCCGAGCUUAACUCGGGAAUGGCAUAUGUGACUGCUCGACUAGAGUGUGUCAUAGGGAGGUGGAAUUCCACGUGUAGCAAUGAAAUGCGUAGAUAUGUGGAAGAACACCGAUGGCGAACGCAGCCUCCUGGGACAUGACUGACGCUCACGCACGAAAGCGUGGGGAGCAAAAGGGAUUACA
rnacentral:rRNA from 1 species